rnacentral:tRNA from 14 species
UCCUGCUGGUGCAGCUGCCGGGCCUCAACACCGCCGUGGGCUGCAAGGC